rnacentral:rRNA from 1 species
AUAGUUGGCAUUGAUAACAAGGAUCUAAUGAAUUAUGAGUUUAAUAGAUCCUCUUUAGAAGAAAUAUGUAUAUUCCUUGCUCAUUAUCAGACAAUAACUUAUUCCCAAACCUCGUGUGGGACUAAUCGUUUCCAUUUACCAUCUCAUGGAAAAACCUGUUCGUUCCGCCUAGCCCUAUCGGGUAUUUUAGUGAUAGGUUCUAUAGGAACUGGACAAUCCUAUUUGGUCAAAUACCUAACGAAAAAUUACGAUUUCCCUUUCAUUAAGGUACAAGGGCUUCUUAUUCCCCAAGAACGAAAAUAA